GUGUAUAUCACCUGUGAGAGCGAUUAGCCAAUCACGGCCGGGCACACGCUCCCAACGAAGCAACUGUCUCGCUCUUUGAUGUGAAAUCUAAUUAAUGCUGCAAAGCCCCUCUCCUCGCAGUGAGUAUCCCCUGCCGUAAAUGACAGGGGAGAGAGCAGGAGAGAGACAGGGAGAGAGAAACAAGCAGCUCAACUUUAGAGAUUUCAUCCUUCUCAGUUGAGCUCUCUUCUGUCUCUCUGUCUCCAUGCACUGAUGACUUCUGAAACCUCUUUUCUCUUUAUCAUCAUGGGUCCUGCCUCACUGAGAGAUAUCCCUGGCUGUGUUUCAUAAGUGUGUGUGUGUGCUGACUUGUUUUCAUAUCCUGUUUUCAGACCAGAAUGUCCUGACAAGACAGGAAACAAAUGUAAAUUCUGAAAAGUCAGGACAUUUUGCGUGUAAUUUCAGGUUUAAGGGUUAGGUUUGGGGUUAAGGUUAGGGUUAGGAGUUAGGUUUAGGGUUUGGUUUAGGGUUAAAGUGGAACUGACAGCGUUCCAACUACUUUGCAUCUAUGAAACAGACCAUCAUAAUAUCAGUCAAAAAUAUAAAAUUCCCAGUUUAUGCUACAAACCAACUUAAUGUGAGGUUUUAAAAAUAGAUUCUAUUUGACUCAGCAUUCCAUGAUGUACACUAAGACAUUGUUGGCAGAAUAGAUGGAUGCAGUUCUAUGCAUGAUUCAUAUAAUUCACCAGUACAUGUGUUGAUAGUCCAGAAGAUAUGACCAUCAGGUUGUAACACAGCUGGCCUGGUACGUUGUUUGCUGCCUCCAUUCAGGAUGCACUGUUUCAGUUUCAACGACUCAAUAUUUUAGACAAUAACGAACGAAUGUAACUAAAGGUGGGAAUACAAUCAAUACAAUCAAACUAGCAAGGGCAAUGAUCACAAGUCAGUCAUAACCUGGCUAAAAGGCUAGCGUAUCUAUUUAUGUAGCAAGCUAAAAACACAGAGCCUAACUUUAGCUAGCUGCUAGUUCGGCGGUCGACGUCCGGUUUUCUAGCCAUCGCCAAUCCACCUUUCAUUUUUCCAUUUGUCUUGUCUUGUUUUCCUACACACCCGGUUUCAAUUCCCUCAGUAUUAGACGUGUAUAUAACCCUCUAUUCCCACCCCAUGUCUGUGUGUGGAAUUGUUUGUUGUUUCGUGUAUGUGCACGCUAGCUAGACUGGUCUGCGCUGGGUUAUGUCCACCCAUAUUGUGUUUAGGGUUCUUAGUGCUGUGGGUUAUGUCAACCCAUAUUGUGUUUAGGGUUCUUAGUGC
ensembl:lncRNA